GGGGGCGAAAGGGUUUCGACCGAGUUGUGGAGGUUGAUGGCUGCGCAUCGAGGUUGUCAGGAGGCCUCGCUAAAAACCUGGCACAAAAUAUAAAUGCUAGACCAGCAUAUAGACUAGCGGCAUAAGCUGCUACGUUCGUCUGUUACCUUCCCGCAAGUCCUAACGAAAGUUAGGAUGGUGCAGAGCCGAACGUAAAAGUGCGGGAUACCUAAUUUGUGCUAUUCUCUAUGGCAUAGAUAGGGAAUUAAAAAUAGAGAUAGCAUCUAAAAAUCCUGCAGGGUGGAGUUCUGGAUGCGAUAACAAAACCCUGAUACGUGCGUAGAUGCCGCUUCUGAAAUAGCACGGGACGCGGGUUCGAUUCCCGCCGCCUCCACCA
rnacentral:tmRNA from 1 species